GAGAGACUCGGCUGACUGACCCAUGGACCUUCAUCGUAAUCGCCAACUGCUCCUUCCUGCGGCCGCGGCAAACUCACUCCCACCGCCGCCAGCAGGGACAACACCAGCGCUGCCAAGAUCUGCGCGGGGAGAUAACCCGCUUGGCGUGGCGUCCCUGGCUCCCUGGCAUCCCGCUGAGACAACAUGAGGCACAGUCCUGGCCGCCCACUGCUAUAAGGGUAAGGAAGAGGGUGAAGGAGGGCGAGAAGGGAACCCAGAUGAACGUGUUUCGUGGGAUGACAGUGACUCCCUUUGUUGACCACGGCGAAGGGCGGCGUAGGAAGAACAACAGGUAGCAAAGAUGGACUGUACAUGGAUUCACGCAUCUAUUGAUAUAAGUAUACUGUGUCUGCAGAGGGUAAAGUAAUUGUAAUAUGUCUAGUAUAGAAUAAAGAUGUUUGCCAAGUACGAGAAAGGAAUACUUCAGUUAGUUUAGUACUUGUAAGUUGUUGUUGUUGGUGGUGAUGGUGGUGGUGGUAGUUGUGGUGUACUGUAUGCAUAGAGCAAGAUGAGCUUUCUGUCUUUUCUCUAUUUGGGUUUGUUUCAUUCCAAUCUCUGUGUCCUUUGUUUUUUUUUUUUCUUUCUUUGUGUUUUUCUUUCUUCCUUUCCUUUACAUUCUCUCUCUCUCUCUCUCUCUCUCUCUCUCUCUCUCUCUCUCUCUCUCUCUCUCUCUCUCUCUCUCUCUCUCUCUCUCUCUCUGUUUUUGUCCAUCCUUUCUCCUUUAAUUUAUUAAUUUGCUUUCGUUCCGUUGAUUUUUUUUUCUCAAGUAUAACUUGUUUUAUUUUUACAAAAUUAACUCUUAAUGCUCCCAUGGUUCGAAAUCAAUUGUAUUUAUUUGCUGAAUAAGAUUUUCUCCCUCUUUUCAUUCGUUUUUUUUUCUUAUUUUGAAGAGUGUAUCUUCUUUACCAUUUUAAUUUUUUCGUAUUUAUUUUCUCAAGUGGUGAGAUGAUUGUAGUUGGUGAUGAGAUAAUGGUGGUGAUGGUGGUGGUAGCGGUCGAUAGAGUGAUGUGGUGACUGUGGAUGUGUGGUAGCUGUUGUAGUUAAUACUGCCAGCUGCUAUGAACGAAAGAGUUAUUUGAUACGCACGUUUACAGUGAUAAGAUAAAUAAGUAGAGUUUGGGGUGUAGGAAAAUACAUGCUCUCUGAAGAUUCUGUGCAAACCAAGGAGACAGUCUCACGCUUUGCUUCCAUCAAGACAAAUGAAUUCAGUGGGCGGAGCUUAUCGAGUCUGUGGGCGGAGCUUACGAUCAGCAGAUAGAAUCCAAAACAUGCCAAUCUUCCGUGUUGAGCUAUAGGAAUUUAUCACUUGUUUUUUGCAUACUAGACGAAAAAAUAGAAAAUAAUUGAUGGUCUGAGUUAUGAAAAGUACAUUAUAGUUUCCUAAAUGUGCUAUGUAGACCCAUUAUCAAUGACAGAUAUGCCAAAUAACCACAAUAUCGAGAGAAACACAUCAGACGUUUCCAGGAGAAAUGGUAGCAAAAAUGUUGUUUUUCAUUGUUUAUUGAAUGACAAGGCACAAACAGUAAAAAAAAAAAAAAAUCUAUAGAUGCCUUUUAAGUGUACAGUGACAUGGUAUCACACAUAAUUUUAAAUAAGUGCUUUUCAGUCUAAUAUUGCAUGAGAGAGAGAGAGAGAGAGAGAGAGAGAGAGAGAGAGAGAGAGAGAGAGAGAGAGAGAGAGAGAGAGAGAGAGAGAGAGAGAGAGCGGGGUGGGGGGGUUAAGCGAUAGUAUACAAAAAAAAAAAAAUAAAAUAAAAUAAAAAUAAAUAAAUAAACCUUCAGGCCAUCUUUCACCUGAUACACAGUUUAUUUCAUUUCCAUCUGUAUGAACAUGUAUAUGUACAGUACAUACACUAAUCUAAGGGCACAUACAUUAUGUACAUACAUACUGUACAUGCAUACAUACAUACUUAUAUAUACAUACACAGAAACAACUGAGGUAACACACACACACACACACACACACACACACACACAGACAGAAAACCACAAGCAAAUAAACAGAUAAACGAACACGUUGAUGAAGUUCUGAUUUGUACACGCAGAUUGGCUUGCACACACACACACACACACACACACACACAGGGCAGUUAAGCUUGUGAGAGUGUAGUGUUAGCACCACACUACCACACCAUGCCAUACCACAUCAUAUCAUAACACCACCACCACUACAUACCUGCACACCAAACCACCACCAAGCACCACACCACAGUACGGUAUCUUUGGCGACCCGACCUGCCCAGCUCCGCCGAGCCUCGCUAAGCCCUCCUACCCCUGCUCCGUCAUGCUGCGGCUAAGAUAACUAAAGGCUCGCUGUUUAGGUGGAGUGUGAGGGGGAGGAGAGAGGAGAUAUUAGGGAGAGGUGCAAAAAGAAAACUACUUCGGCUCUAUAUAAUUUUAUUUAUUUAUUUUUUAUUAGUGAAGUUUGCAUUGUUUUGAUAUUUAAUCUAUUAAUAGAAAAGUAUAACAGGUUAUAGUAUUUGAUAAAUUCUUGUCUAACUUUUUUUUGGUUUCCGGUUAAAAUAACACUUUCGUCAUUUUAUAAAUUUUCGUUAUUUUUUUAUUACCACACCUAGGAUUGUUUCGGUGUUUGAUUUAAGACUUAGAAACAUAAGAAAUGUAUCCCAAGUAAUACUAUCCAAUAAAAUCGAGUCUAACUUCACAUUCUCAAAUUAAAAAGUCUGUUGCUAGAUUUAAAAAUGAAGAAAAAUAAUAAAAAUCUUUAUAUGA